CGAGCUCGCCCGGAGGCGCCUUUCCAAGGCACGAAAAGUCUGAUCGGGGUCCCCCAGCCCGUUUUGCUAACACAGACAGAGGUGUGUGUGUGUUUGUCGGGGGGGCUUCGGCCUUACAGGACGGCGCCAAGCGACCUCUCCCCGUCCCCGCUCCGACCCGUGCCCACGAGGGUGCCAGAAAAAGUCCGGGUGUCUUUGGCUGCUUGCUCAUGGUGGAAGCUUGUACGGAGGCGGAGAAGGACUCAGCCAGCCUGGGCCCGCAGAGAGUGGGGCAGAGCCAGCGCCCCCCGGGGGAGCCGCCACCGCCUGCGCACCCCUCCCGGCCCGACACGCUCCUCAGCGGGGGGAUGAGCUGGGUCACUUUUCCUUCAAACAAACAAUAACACCUUGAUGAAUCUUUCGGCUUUAUUUUCUGUCCAAGAAGAAAACAGUUUCAGGGAAUCUGACCUCCUGUUUCACUGCAUUCACUGAACCUUCAACAGAAAUAGUCACAGGAUUGCUUUAAUGGUGCUAUAGAGCUGAGAAGAGUUUUUGAAGAUGGAUUCUCAUGUUGAAAGGAUAAGUGACAAGAUCAUGCUCAGGAAUCACAGAAACGUUGAGACUGGAAGAGACCUCCAGAGAUCAACUAGUCCAACCCCUCUGCUCAAGCAGGGUCAGCUAGAGCAUGUUACACAGGAUCACAUCCAGGUCCAGCAGCACACCUCUCCUUGUUGGCUCAUCAACCACCUGUGUCAAGAAGUUAUCCUCAGUGUUCUGCAGUAACCUCCUAGACUGUUCUGAGCUGUGUUGUCUUCCCAGCAAAUAUUGGGGUAGUUAAAGUCCCCCAUAAGAACCAGGACCUGCAAACAUGAGGCAACUUGCAGCUGCCUGGAGAAGGCCUCGUCCCCUUUCUCUUCCUGAUCCACUGGCCUGUAGUAAACACCCACCACAACAUCACCCCUGUUGGCCUGCCCCUUAAUCCUCAUCCAUAGGCUCUCGAUCCACACUUUGUCUGCCCCUAGGCAGAGCUCCAUACGUUCCAGUUGCUCACUCACGUAAAGAGCAACUCCACCACCUCACCUUCCUGGCCUGUCUUUUCUAAAAAGCACAAAGCCAUCCAUGGCCACAUUCCAGUCAUGAGAGCUGUCCCACCCUGUCUCAGUAACUGCAAUGAGAUCAUAGCCCUUCAACUGUACGCACACCUCCAGUUCCCCUUGUUUAUUUCCCAUGUUGAGUGCAUUUACAUACAGGCAUGAGUUGGGCUCCCAAGGCACCCGCCUUUCUAGAUGGGGCAGCUGUAGCUCAUCCAUGUGGGCCUAUGGUAGCUCUCCUGUUAAGCUUGAUUCCUUUUCUGGACUCUGAGUAUCCUUUGCCUGCUCUGGUGUUCAGCUGGCAUGAGUGGGAUAUUCUUUCUAUAUCCAACAGGAAAUAAAUUUCACAAGCGGUUUAUUUUGAAAUUCUUUUGUUCACUACAACUCCUGAGUGAUCUCAGAGUCACCAUUUUGCAGUUCCACUGGUAAAGAUUUAAUUCAUUAUUUCUAGAUGCAGAAGUGUGGCAAUGGACACAACUAAUCAUAUUUUGCCUGUGUCAUCUUUAUUCAGCUUUUGUUAUUAUAUCAUGUUUACUCAUUCCUAUUUGCUAUUUUACUAGUUUUCCUCAUCUGAAAAUGUUAUUAUUUUUUUUAAUUCAUGGCUGAUUAGCUCUGCCUUUAGCAAACUCAGCUGCUUGUGAUCAUUGCAGUUUAAUCUGAUAAUUAUCAUUAACUCAACAUCCUGUGAAAGAUUAGUGUGCACAUGAACAUACAGAAAUUUGACAACAUUUGCUGGACUUUUGGAGAGCAAUAUGUA